rnacentral:rRNA from 1 species
CCUACGGGAGGCUGCCGUGAGGAAUAUUGGUCAAUGGGCGCAAGCCUGAACCAGCCAAGUCGCGUGAGGGAUGACGGUCCUAUGGAUUGUAAACCUCUUUUGUCGGGGAGCACGGCCCGCCACGUGUGGCGGGAAGGAGAGUACCCGAAGAAAAAGCCUAGGCUAACUCCGUGCCAGCAGCCGCGGUAAUACGGAGGAUGCGAGCGUUACCCGUAUUUAUUGGGUUUAAGGGGUGCGUAGGCGGAAGGUUAAGUCAGCGGUAAAAUGUCGGUGCUCAACACCGGCCUGCCGUUGAAACUGGUCUUCUUGAGUGAGCGAGAAGUAUGCGGAAUGCGUGGUGUAGCGGUGAAAUGCAUAGAUAUCACGCAGAACUCCGAUUGCGAAGGCAGCAUACCGGCGCUCAACUGACGCUGAGGCACGAAAGCGUGGGGAUCGAACAGGAUUAGAUACCCGUGUAGUC